rnacentral:rRNA from 1 species
UACAGAGGGUGCGAGCGUUGUUCGGAAUUAUUGGGCGUAAAGGGUGCGUAGGCGGUGCCACAAGUCACUUGUGAAAUCCCCAGGCUUAACCUGGGGCCUGCAGGCGAAACUGUGGUGCUGGAGUAUGGGAGAGGUGCGUGGAAUUCCCGGUGUAGCGGUGAAAUGCGUAGAUAUCGAGAGGAACACCUGCGGCGAAGGCGGGUUGCUGGGCUGACACGUGACGCUGAUGCGCGAAAGCUAGGGGAGCGAACGGG